UCCCUAGUGGCUCAGCUGGUUAAAGAAUCCACCUGCAAUGUGGGAGACCCAGGUUCAAUCCCUGGGUUGGGAA
rnacentral:tRNA from 1 species